UCGAGUGGCAUUUGAAAAUGUAAAGUAAAGAGACACUAGAGUUAGUGUAAUGCAAAGAGCUAAUGUGAUGUAAAGAAUAAUGAAAGUGACAAUGUUAAAGUUAAAGUUAUGUGGGGAGUAAAGAACAUGAAAUGCUAGAGGUAGCCAAAAGUAAAGAACGUAAAGAAAAUAAUUGGUAGAGUUAGCAAAAGUAAAGAAUGGUAAAGAACAACGAUUGCUAGAGUUAGCAAAGAUAAAGAAAUGUAAAGAAUGUGAUUGCAUGAGUUUGCAACAUAAAGUGAUGAAAGAACACUAGAGCUAGUGUAAAGUCAAGAUUGAACUUAUAAAUCCUUUGAGUUAAGGAUAUGAUCAUACUUGCUAUGAGUUCCGUGCUCGAGGGUGGUCGCUCCCCCUCGGGCGAUGCGCUCCGGAGUUAUGCAUCCGGGUUGGAGUAGACCCGUAAGGACGGUCCUAGCUGGUGAGUUCCUGCGAUGAUGGACUUAAUGUGAAGCAAGUUAAUGUGG
rnacentral:lncRNA from 1 species